rnacentral:rRNA from 1 species
GAUGAACGCUGGCGGCGUGCCUAAUACAUGCAAGUCGAGCGAACGGACGAGAAGCUUGCUUCUCUGAUGUUAGCGGCGGACGGGUGAGUAACACGUGGAUAACCUACCUAUAAGACUGGGAUAACUUCGGGAAACCGGAGCUAAUACCGGAUAAUAUUUUGAACCGCAUGGUUCAAAAGUGAAAGACGGUCUUGCUGUCACUUAUAGAUGGAUCCGCGCUGCAUUAGCUAGUUGGUAAGGUAACGGCUUACCAAGGCAACGAUGCAUAGCCGACCUGAGAGGGUGAAUCGCCACCACGGGACCUAAAAACGGUCCCAAACCCCAACGGAGGACAGCAGAGGGAAAUCUCCCGAAUUGGGCGAAGCCUUAAGGGGGAAAGGCGGGGUAGUGAUUAAGGGUUUCCGAUUCGUAAACCUCUUUAUUAGGGAAGAAACAUAUGUGAAGGUACCUUUGCCCUUUUGAACGGACCCAAUUAGAAAGGCACGGCUAACUACGUG